rnacentral:rRNA from 1 species
UACGUAGGGUGCGAGCGUUGUCCGGAAUUAUUGGGCGUAAAGAGCGUGUAGGCGGCCCGAUAAGUCCGCUGUGAAAGUCCAGGGCUCAACCCUGGAAUGCCGGUGGAUACUGUCGGGCUCGAAUCCGGAAGAGGUGAGUGGAAUUCCUGGUGUAGCGGUGAAAUGACGCAGAUAUCAGGAGGAACACCGGUGGCGAAGGCGGGUCUCUGGGCCGAUACUGACGCUGAGGAGCGAAAGCGUGGGGAGCGAACAGG